UGCGUAGGUGGCGCUGUAAGUGGGGUGUGAAAUCCCGGGGCUUAACUCCGGAACUGCAUUCCAUACUGCGGUGCUUGAGGACUGGAGAGGAGACUGGAAUUUACGGUGUAGCAGUGAAAUGCGUAGAGAUCGUAAGGAAGACCAGUGGCGAAGGCGGGUCUCUGGACAGUUCCUGACACUGAGGCACGAAGGCCAGGGAGGCAAAACCGG
rnacentral:rRNA from 1 species